UACGGGGGGGGCAAGCGUUGUUCGGAAUUACUGGGCGUAAAGGGUUCGUAGGCGGCCAACUAAGUCAGACGUGAAAUCCCUCGGCUUAACCGGGGAACUGCAUCUGAUACUGGAUGGCUUGAGUUCGGGAGAGGGAUGCGGAAUUCCAGGUGUAGCGGUGAAAUGCGUAGAUAUCGGGAGGAACACCAGUGGCGAAGGCGGCGACCUGGUUCGAUACUGACGCUGAGGUGCGAAAGCGUGGGGAGCAAACAGG
rnacentral:rRNA from 1 species